CCUCGGACAUCAGUUGCGGGCAGAUCAAAUGCACAUGGCAGUCGACGGCGCCCGCGGUGACGAUGCGGCCGUUUCCCCCGAUGACUUCGGUGCUGGGCCCGACCACCAGAUCCGGAUGCACACCCGCCAUCGUGUCGGGGUUGCCGGCCUUGCCGAGUGCGACGAUCCGGCCGUCGCGAAUACCAAUGUCGGCCUUGAUGAUUCCCCAGUGAUCGAUGAUCACCGCGCCGGUGAUCACGGUGUCGGGUGCGCCUUCCGCGCGCGACACCCUCCCCUGG
rnacentral:sRNA from 1 species